rnacentral:rRNA from 1 species
UGCGUAGGCGGUUUUGUGUGUCAGAUGUGAAAGCCCAUGGCUCAACCAUGGAAUUGCAUUUGAAACUGCAGAACUCGAGUAUCGGAGAGGUAGAUGGAAUUCUAGGUGUAGCGGUGAAAUGCGUAGAUAUCUAGAAGAACACCAGCGGCGAAAGCGAUCUACUGGACGAAUACUGACGCUGAGGCACGAAGGCCGAGGGGAGCGAAGA